AUGCAUCUAUUGACAGACCUGAAGUUCAACACUUAAACUUUUUGGGUUUAUUCAUUGAGAGGCAAGAUCAAAUUUCCAAGCACUUUCUGCCUGCUCCAUUUGUGGCAGCUCAGAUUGAUUAGGGAAUACAUGU